GUAAGUUCCUCAGGCGUCCAUAUUUAGGUCCCCGGAUCUGGAAGUUCCUCAGGUACAUGUCCAUCUUUGGGCCCUCAGAUCCGGAAGUGCUUCAGGCGUCCAUGUUUAGGCCCCUGGAUCCGGAAGUUCCUCGGGUGCACGUCCAUGUUUAGGCCACCGGAUCCAGAAGUUUCUCAGGCACACGUUCAUGUUUAAGCCCCAGGAUCUGGAAGUUCAUCGGUGCACAUCCAUGUUUAGGCUCCUGGGUCCGUAAGUUCCUCAGGUGCACGUCCAUGAUUAGGCUCUAGGAUCCGGAAGUUCCUCAGUCCUCCAUGUUUAGGCCAAAGCAUCUGGAAGUUCCUCAGGCACACGUCCAUGUUUAAGCCUCCAGGUUCCUCAGACAUCCAUAUUUAGGCUCUGGGAUCCAGAAGUGCCUCAGGAGUCCAUGUUUAGGCCCUAGGAUCAGGCAUGCCUCAGGCAUCCAUGUUUAGGCCCUCAGAAAUUCCUCAGACGCACAUCCAUGUUUAAGCCCCUGUAUCUGGAAGUUCCUUAGGUGUACAUUUAGGCCCCCGGAUCAAUACAGUGUUUUCUUUAUGAAUAAACUUCUUUAAGCCAAUGUGAAUUGAUUAAAAGAAAAAACAUUAAGGAAAUAAUAUUAAAUGUGGUUUGUGGAUUUUGGUAAGUAAUAAGGCUAGCUUAUGAAAGAGAGAUGGACAUUUACCAGGGACAGCAAGAGUAUGGUAUAGGUUCAAUCUAGUAAAGGGUAUGAGUAAAAAGUAAGUUCGAGAGCAAGAAACAUUUUAGUCUGGGGGUAGUAAGCUUCAUGACUGAUGAAUAAUAAGGGUAGGGG
rnacentral:lncRNA from 1 species